rnacentral:rRNA from 1 species
ACUCCUACGGGAGGCAGCAGUAGGGAAUCUUCCGCAAUGGGCGAAAGCCUGACGGAGCAACGCCGCGUGAGUGAUGAAGGUCUUCGGAUCGUAAAACUCUGUUGUUAGGGAAGAACAAAUUUGUUAGUAACUGAACAAGUCUUGACGGUACCUAACCAGAAAGCCACGGCUAACUACGUGCCAGCAGCCGCGGUAAUACGUAGGUGGCAAGCGUUAUCCGGAAUUAUUGGGCGUAAAGCGCGCGUAGGCGGUUUCUUAAGUCUGAUGUGAAAGCCCACGGCUCAACCGUGGAGGGUCAUUGGAAACUGGGAAACUUGAGUGCAGAAGAGGAGAGUGGAAUUCCAUGUGUAGCGGUGAAAUGCGCAGAGAUAUGGAGGAACACCAGUGGCGAAGGCGGCUCUCUGGUCUGUAACUGACGCUGAUGUGCGAAAGCGUGGGGAUCAAACAGGAUUAGAUACCCUGGUAGUCCACGCCGUAAACGAUGAGUGCUAAGUGUUAGGGGGUUUCCGCCCCUUAGUGC